CAGCACACACAGCACAGCACAGCACACACAGCACAGCACACACAGCACAGCACAGCACAGCACAGCACACACAGCACAGCACACACAGCACAGCACAGACAGCACAGCACAGACAGCACAGCACAGCACAGCACACACACACAGCACACACAGACAGCACACACAGCACACACAGCACAGCACACACAGCACAGCACAGCACACACAGCACAGCACAGCACACACAGCACAGCACAGCACACACAGCACAUCACAGCACACACAGCACACACAGCACAGCACAC
rnacentral:lncRNA from 1 species